GGGGAAUUUUCCGCAAUGGGCGAAAGCCUGACGGAGCAACGCCGCGUGAGGGAUGAAGGCCUCUGGGCUGUAAACCUCUUUUCUCAAGGAAGAAGACCUGACGGUACUUGAGGAAUAAGCCACGGCUAAUUCCGUGCCAGCAGCCGCGGUAAUACGGGAGUGGCAAGCGUUAUCCGGAAUUAUUGGGCGUAAAGCGUCCGCAGGCGGCCUUGNUAAGUCUGUUGUUAAAGCGUGGAGCUCAACUCCAUUUGAGCAAUGGAAACUACAAGGCUUGAGUGUGGUAGGGGCAGAGGGAAUUCCCGGUGUAGCGGUGAAAUGCGUAGAUAUCGGGAAGAACACCAGUGGCGAAGGCGCCCUGNCUGGGCCAUAACUGACGCUCAUGGACGAAAGCCAGGNGAGCGAAAGGGAUUAGAUACCCCUGUAGUC
rnacentral:rRNA from 1 species